rnacentral:lncRNA from 1 species
AUUAAACAAACGUUUACAUUAGGCAUAUAUGACUCAAAGCUUACAUGCUAUAGUGUGGUUUCUAUCUAUCUAUUAUUAUAUAAUUAAAACGAAAGACAAAUAAGACACGACAUUAAUCCACAUAGACUAAUAUUAUUACCAUCGUUUGAUCAGAAUAACAAUGGCUCAGAUUUAAAGAUUUUACGUAACACUAAAUAUGUACGUGUUGGGAAAUUGAACUGUCACGUCUAUAUGCAUACACACAUGCAUAAGGUACAUCAACGGAGUCAUAGAAGGGAGCACCGGUUCACAAAAAAAAUCAAAGAUUAAAUUACCUCUACAACUAAUAUUAGAUAUGGACAGUAGAGGUUACAUAUCCAACUAUUGUCAGGUACAAUUCCUAAUCGGAACUCGCAAGGACACAUUAGUAACUUGGUCAGCCAACGAGUGCAUACGGACACGUCCCCAAAAAUACACGGCUGGCCGCAUCCAUCAGACUAUUCGCACAUAGCAUCCAUAAAAAUAGACGGCCGACCACACCCAACAGCCAAACACGCCCAUCUUCAGUCUGGAAAUCUAAGACGUCCAGCAACUUGCGACUCAGCGACACGACCAGGAAAAUUGAAGCCAACCAACUCUACGAUGCCGUGACUCGACGAUGCCACCACCAGGACAGUUGAAGCCAACAGACUCUGACGCGAGAUGUUUGGACUCUGCGCUCCGCAAAUUUCGAGGCCAGCCCAAAUUAUGAAGUGGCAUGCAACUCGAUUUCUACGUAAGUCAUACCCAACUGUCUGCGUUUCCUUCUUACCUGAAUCAACAUGUUUAGUAAUUAUUAUUACUAUGAACUCACUUUUUUUAGCUACAAUCUUCAUAUGCACGUUGACAACUACUUUUCCAAUCCUUUUGAAGCUGUGCGUUUUAAUCCUUUCCAAGUGAAAACAUUUGGGAAUACAAGAAGCUGAGAGACUUCAACAAGAGACCAAAACUGGGAUUUUUAAGUGAAAGUAACAAGAACAUGGGAUAUAAUCAAUCCUACAACUGAUGAACUUAUGAGCCUUGAUGUGAUCUUGAUGGAUGAACAGGUUUAUGCUAUACAUAUUUAAUUGCAGACUGUUCUAUUGUUCCAAAAACAAUCGAUAUGUGAGUCUUGAUGCGAUCUUAAUAGAUGAGCAGGUUUAUUCUAUACAAUUUUAAAUGCAGACUAUUCUAUGGUUUCAAACAACAGUCGAUAAGUAUAUAUUUUAGUUAUUUUGAUAGAGGACCAAACAACUCAUGCUACCAUACGUAAAAAUCGGAUAGAUACUUAUAGAUCAAAGGAUAACUGUGAAAUCUAUUUAUCCAUUUAGCAAUAUUAAGGUUGUGGAAGGCACAAAAUAUGGCCCACUGAACAAUGAUAUUAGAUUAAUUUUUGUGUACAAUACUAAGAGAAAGGAGGUGAAAGGAUCAAAAGUAUCAUCGGAAGAUUUCCUAAUUACUAGAGUUUGCUACCAAGGACAUACUACAAUAACAAGCCUAAAAAGAUAAACAAUGCUCAGGUAUGUCAUAGUUGUAAAUCAGAUUUUGGGCUAAUCCAUCAUUCUAACUAUGUGGUAAUUAAUCACAAAAUUGACAGAUGUAGGAUUAUUGGAAGUUUUUCAAAAUUACUACUUUGAAUCUCAUACCAAGGACAUACUACAACAAGAAGCAUAUAAAGGUAAGCAAUGCUCAGGUAUGUUACAGUUACAAAUCAGUUUCGGUUUAUUCAAUCAUUAUAACUACGGGUAAUUAAUCACCAAAAUGACAGAUGUCAUCAAACAAGUUAACCAGAUGAAGCAUGUAGAACAAAAAAUAACAAAAAAACCGUGAUAUUGAAUUUCUAAUACCAUAGUAAGUGCCGGUGUAUACCAAUGUCUUCAAUUUUAAUUAUACUUCUUCCAUUGUGGUCGGCAUCAAAUUUUUAGGCAUAACAUUUUGGGCUGAAACCAAAGUUAUGAUAUGGGAAUUUUUUAUUAUUAUUUGAAUGAAUAUGUAAUCCAAAACCAAAUUGUCUUACAGUGACCUAAACAAUGGUGCAAACAUUGAAUGGCAAGUCCAAUAAUUUCAAAAACUAAAAUAUGUAAUAGAUUAAUUGUUGAUGGGUUUGUGCCUAAAGUCAAGAGGUAACACAAGAAUACAUACGGAUCUAGACAUAACCAAAAUUCAAGAACUCAAGUAUGAAACACUAUCUAUUCUGAUCUACUGAUAACACAUUGAAGUAAAAGUCAUAAAUACAUUGCUUAACGAUGAAGACUCAGAUGCUCAAUGUCUGUCAUCUAACGAAACAUUUAUGCCUGGCUUGAGAUGUUGUACUUGAACAAUAAAGACAAGGAGGUAAAGAUGCAUUUAAUUCAUUAAAAUAAAUAACUAUUAUCUUUUCUAUUUUUCAUCAAUGAUUUAUCUUGUAGUAUGCCAAGCAGUUGAUAGGUGACAAAGUGGACAUCAUGUUGGAAGAAACGAAGAAGCAAGACAUGCCAGCUACAAGGGAGAUUGAUUUUUCCACCAUACGCACUUUUAGAUUUUUACGCAUGUAUUAUUUUUAAAUGCAUUUCAUUUUACAGUCACAGAAUAAUGAUGGAUAAUUACAGCCUAGGAAAACAAAGAAACUAUCCAUAAAUUAAUGGAUAAGUUGCUUAUUAAUUAAAUAGUAAGACAGACUAAUGUACACACAAAGAUUUAGGAAGAGUGCUUGACAUUGACCAGGAUAAGAAGGAUACUUAUUAGAUUAUAAUAGUGCAAAUGUUAACACUAUCAAAAGCACGUCAUAUUGUAAUUUUUGGAAGACAUGCAAUUUUGACAGCUUAUUGUCCUAGGUAAUAAACACCUAUACCUCAUACAGAUUUUUCAGUUUAAUAAAACCAUUAAUAGAUCUUCAAUAUCAUCUGCACCACCAACACAUAUAAAAAUCAAACCAUUGCAUGUCAAUUAACAGAUAUGAACCAAAUUAAGGCCUUCUUGCUAGGACAUGGUAACAACAAAUAAAAGAAUAGAACACUUUAUAGUGGAGAGCCAUGGAUGAACUGGAAGACAUAAUAUACCAUUAUACAGCAAUAUUGGUUCCUAUGGGCACAAAAGGUUGUCAAAUCCAGAAUGAAAAAAGGUGUACAGAAACCAUAACUGUACUGCCCUACAACAUUUAUAAAAGUGGCAGGAACCUUAAUUCAGGCCUCAAAACUCUACCAUUAGACAACAAGAUUCCAGAAGCAAGAUUCAAAACAGCGGGCGUGGAUAAUUUUAGAUGCCUUGCAUCCAUGUGUUCACCAUAUACCAUUGCCUCUGUGUGGUAAUUAAGAUGCAAGAAUCCAGAAAGAAGACGAGCCCCACGAAAAUCACUAAACUUUAGAACUUAACCUGCAACUAGGCACAUGCAUGUCUCACGUCAAGCUGAUGCUUUUGCUAUCUGGCUGAGUAAAAGUGCAUGUAAACCUCCUUUAUUUACUGUGCAUCACUAAUUAGAUGGAAGAAUCGCUUGCUAGGUUGAGAUCAACUUAAUUCAGGCAGGUCCAUAUGUUUGCCUUACUUUGUUCUCUACUGCAAAAUUUAGAGGACUAAGUAUAGGUGUCAUUUUUCACAAGGAAAGUUGUGGUAGGAGUAUUGUUUACUAGCAAUGUAAUGAUAAAAAAACUUAUUUUGAUUUCUAGAUCAUUCCCCUUCACCAAAACUUAUAUGAUUGCAGUAACACUUACAUUUGGUAGGACUCCAAACAACACCAACAAUGAACAAGACAACAAGUAGGAAGCCGCCCGCACAAGCUGCUUCACAUCCUUGCUUCGUGAGUUCCCUCACUACCUCCGCGCCACCAACAUCCAAAGCACCCGGCGAUGGCAAGUAUGAACAGCACAACCCAAAUUCUCCUUGGCAAUCUCCGUGGACAUGUCUCCAGGCUCGAGGAGGUUGCCGAGAUCCGUGCACUCACCCAGCCACAUGCGCCACCACCCCAUGGAAGCAAAACUCAGAGAAAAGAAACGACAUGUAGAUCUGGGAUAACCUGGGUAUUAAUUUUCUGAUGGCCAACGGUGACAUCUUCCUUCGCCGGCGGCAAAUCGGAAGAAAUGGCAAACGAGGAUGAGGACUCAGCAGCCUGGUGGGGAUCGUACGAGAGCUGGGGAUGGUUCUUUUUUUUAGAAAAGGGGAUAGUUCUAUUCUAUGUAGAUGACAUGUAUGGGACACAGGCUGUUUUUUACUUAGAAAAGAAAUUGUACAGAAUGGUACAUGUCGACUCUAAUGGGCUUGCAUAAAAACG